CAUUUUUCUAAAACUACUAAAAGAAAAUUUUAUUUUAAAGAAUAAAAUGGAAGCUGACUGUGACCAAGAAAGAAAUGAACUAUAGAAGAGGUGGACAUUGAAAGGAAAUAGAAGUGAACAGUCAAAAGUAGGAGCUCUAUGAAUAGGGCUACAAUGAGUAUUCGCACGCAUGUGUCUUUACAGUAGAACAAUUCAUAUUCCUUUGGGUAUAUAUUCAAUAGUGAGAUUGCUGGGUCCAAUGGUAGUUCUGUUUUUAGCUCUUUAAGGAAUCACCACACUGCUUUCUGCAAUGGUUAAACAAAUGUAUACUCCCACCAGCAGUGUAUAAGCAUUCCGUUUUCUCUGCAACCUCAUCAGCAUAUGUUAGUUUUUGACCCUGUAGUAGCCAUUCUGACUGGUGUGAGAUGGUAUUUCAUUGCGGUUUUUAAUUGCAUUGCUCUAAUGAUCAGUGCUAUUGAACUUUUUUCCAUAUGCUUCUUGGCCAUAUGUAUGUUUUCCUUUGAAAAGUGUCUGUUCAUGUCCUUUGCCCACUUUUUAAUAAGGUUGUUUUGGGUCUUUUUGGCAAAUUUAAAGAAAUUGAAUUAACCUAAAUGCCCAUCUCUGGUAUCCUGGAUAAAGAAAAUGUGGUACAUAUACAACAUGAAAUACUACCCAGCCAUAAGAAAACACGAGAUCAUGUCCUUUGCAGGAACAUGGAGGAGCUGGAGGCCAUUAUCCUUAGCAAACUAACACAGGAACAGAAAACCAAGUGCUGCAUGUUCUCACUUAUGCCAGCAAGCCAUGCUGCUCGCCACCUUGAAUUCUGCCUAGCAGAGGAGAACCUGAAACCAAUUCUUUGCAAUGCUGCAUCCCACCAUCCUUUCGUUUCGGCUGCAGGUUCUUUAUUUGGAGAGGCUGAAUCAUCCAUUUCUCACCUUUCUCACCAGCCAAGUAUUUUUAGCUUACCAUCAGCUACACGGUGAAUGUAGGUCUAUAAGGAAAAAGUGCAUUUUUUUCUUUUUUGUUUUUGACUGCUGAAUCCAGAAAUGCAUUACAGCAAAACAAACACACAAAUAAAAAGGUAAAGUGUUUUAUGUAAAAAUAAUAUUGAUUUGCUUAACAUUCUCCAUUUUUUUUUUAGUGCUUAAAGUGAGUCUUUGCCACUCUAAACAGAGACCACUUCUUACCUGGUGACAGCUUAUUUGUACCACCCCAAGUAAAGAAAAACAGUGGACAAUGGCCCUGAGAUCUCCAAGGAGCUCCAGGGAUAGAUGGGUGGAAGAGAUGGUUACAUCUAACUCCCUACACAGGGAGGUUCUGAUCCAGAAGCUGAGCUUCUGUGUACCUGCUCUGCUAGACCUCAAAAUCUGGAACAGAAAAGGGACAGAGCUUAAACUAAUGUUUUAGAGCCAUUUACACACUGAUAAGAAACUCAAUGUCAUGAAAACAGUUUGUUCCAACAUCUAAGAGAAACUAUCAGAGUUACAUUGGGUCCUUAGAGGUAAACUAAGAAAAUGGAAGUAGGUAAGCCAAGCAUUUGCUGGAAGAACAAGAGACAGAUGCGUUUCUCAUCAUUAGCAUAUAUGGGCAGCAUAGCAAUUAAAAGCAUUUAAGCGAGAUUUUUGCUUCUCUGUCUGUUGUUGUUAGCGUGAUAAAGAAAGAAUGGAUUUCCUGGUCAGGGAUAGAAAAGAAUAUGGCCAUGACUGGACUUGCAGAAUGGUGAAAUUCAGGUAAUACGCUUCUAUGUGCUGCAUUCAAAAACAGACAAGAAUAGACUAUGCCUUGGAAAAAGGAGCACCAGGAAAUGCCAAGCCAGUUAGAUAAUGAUGAACAGAUUUGCUGCCCGAGUGCAAACUCCAUACCCGGAAUCGGUAUGCCACAAAACGUGGAAUGGUGACAUUACAAUGGGGAAAGGCCACCUAUAAAAGGUGACCAGAGCAAGAUGUUUUGAAGUGAUGAAGGCUUGAAGUCAAGCACAGGGGCAGGGUCUGACAGGAGGAAGGGUGAGAGUCUAUGCAGAAAAAAAGAGCCACCUCCUGAGGGAUGCAAGUUUGAGGAAAACUCCAGAGUCUCUGCUCCGUCCUCAGUCUUUGCAGCUACUUUAGAUCCUUACAGAUAUCUUAAAUGGGUAACAACAAGCUCAGUUCUAUAACGGAAAAGCAAAUAAUUAUAGUAAACACUUAGUAAUUGUUCUAUGUCAGAUCAUGUAAAUAUAUUAACUUAUUUAAUGUUUACAAUAAUCCUGUGCAGAAGGGGCUUUGUUCUCCCUAUUUUACAGAUGAAAAAACUGAGACACAAAGAGGCCAAGGGACUUGCCCAAGGUUACAUAGCUAAUAAGUGCGCUCUUAGCCAUUACAUGCUGAUUCACAUCUUGUCUAAGCUACCUGGCACCCGAAAAGCUUAUAGCUGUGUUGUGACCUAAGACAAUUAAAAUAAACUCUUUGGAGCCACUUUGCUUCUUCAGAUUAAUGCUCUCACUCAACCAGUCCACGAAGAUAUUAAUAUAUUAAAUGCAUAGUGUGUACCAUGCACUGUUAUAGGAUCUGGGGAUAUGAAGCAUUCGAACAUCCUUGCCUUCCUGAAGCAUACAUUCUCUAGUGAGGAACAACAGACACAUAAAAUAAAUAAGCAUCAUAUGUAGUAUACUAGCUGGCAAUAUGUAUGGUGGAUACAAAGCAAGAAAGAGAGACAGAAAUGACAGCUGAAAUUUUAAAAUACUUCCUAGAGUAGCUGAGGGAGAAGCCAAGCAGGUAGCACUUCAGGUAGAUGGAGCAACAAACAUCAGCGUCCUCAGGCCAGAAAGGGACACAAAGUCCAAGGGGAUCUUGUGGCUAGAAUGGAUUUAUCUUUGGUUAAGUCCCUAGGCCAAGUCUCAAAAUGUGUUUUAUCCCAUAUAUUAGUGAAGUACAAGCAGUCCACAAAUUAUGUAUACUUCACAUACUGCUCCUCUACUAGAAGGGCUUCCCUUCAUACGUCAUCCUUCCAAGAAGAACUCAAAAGCUACCGACUCCUCCCAGAUUCUUCCUUCAUCUCUUGCUAAAAGCUAUACGUGUCUUUUCCAAAUUCCUCAUGAUAUUCGCCGCUUCCCACCUUGCUUUUGAUUAUACUUUAUCUUAUACAUUCAUUGAGGACAGAAAAUGGACUUGGUUCACUGUUUCAUUCUCGACUGAGUUUGGCCUUGAUCAUCAUCAAUCUUCACUAAAUCAUUGUUGAAAAGAUUUGAGUGCAUGCUUUCUGUCAAAUUAAACUCCAUAUUAUACUAAUAUUACUAACUUCGCAACUCUAUUUUAUUAUAAUAAGAAAGAUAUUUUCCAUACCUUCUGAAAUUUUUGGUUGCUUGAUACAAUUUUUUGCCAAAGUAUUUCAGCUCAUCAAUAUGUAAAACUUCAAGCUUAUAUUUUAAGCUUUAAUGUCUUAAGGAGUAACACGUUUUCCCACACAACCAUAAAUGAAAAGAGAAAGAUUCAUUUCUAUGACUUCGCUAUAAAUAAGUAAAAAUGGCAG
rnacentral:lncRNA from 1 species